GGGCCUGCUUGGUUUCGACUUUGCUGGAUGGAAUAUAAACGCAACCCUUCUUGGUCAAAGAAGUAAAACGGGCCAAAACAAUAGAUGCAAAUUCUAACUUUGCUCUCGCUGCGUAAGUAGCCGGGUUUGUCGGGAACCUUGGAACAGAAUCCCGACUAGACAAAAUGUGUAGAUAAUGUGUAAGACCCUUCAGUGUGAUUGACAAUGGUUGUAGAACGGAUAUAUGCUAGAUAGUGAAGGACAGGGGUUCGACUCCCCUCAGGUCCAC
rnacentral:tmRNA from 3 species